GGGGGGAGGCCGGAUCCUGUGCUGUGUCCCGGCGCCCAGUAUUCCUGGGCCUGCGCUGUUGGAUUCGUGCUCCCGGCCGUGCAGCCGCCU
rnacentral:pre_miRNA from 1 species